rnacentral:rRNA from 1 species
GAUGAACGCUGGCGGCGUGCCUAAUACAUGCAAGACGAGCGAACAGACGAGGAGCUUGCUCCUCUGACGUUAGCGGCGGACGGGUGAGUAACACGUGGAUAACCUACCUAUAAGACUGGGAUAACUUCGGGAAACCGGAGCUAAUACCGGAUAAUAUAUUGAACCGCAUGGUUCAAUAGUGAAAGACGGUUUUGCUGUCACUUAUAGAUGGAUCCGCGCCGCAUUAGCUAGUUGGUAAGGUAACGGCUUACCAAGGCAACGAUGCGUAGCCGACCUGAGAGGGUGAUCGGCCACACUGGAACUGAGACACGGUCCAGACUCCUACGGGAGGCAGCAGUAGGGAAUCUUCCGCAAUGGGCGAAAGCUUGACGGAGCAACGCCGCGUGAGUGAUGAAGGUCUUCGGAUCGUAAAACUCUGUUAUUAGGGAAGAACAAAUGUGUAAGUAACUAUGCACGUCUUGACGGUACCUAAUCAGAAAGCCACGGCUAACUACGUG